rnacentral:rRNA from 1 species
AUUCCGCAAAGAAUUAUUACAGGUUAUAGGAUGGUAAUUGAUUUCCGUAAAUUAAAUAAAGCUACUAAGAAAGAUCAUUACCCUUUACCUUUUAUUGAUCAAAUGCUAGAAAGGCUAUCCAAACACACACAUUUCUGCUUUCUAGAUGGUUAUUCUGGUUUCUCUCAAAUACCUGUGUCAGCGGACGAUCAAUCAAAAACUACUUUUACUUGCCCUUUCGGUACUUUUGCUUAUAGACGUAUGCCUUUUGGUUUAUGUAAUGCACCCACUACCUUUCAAAGAUGCAUGAUGGCUAUAUUCUCUGACUUUUGUGAAAAGAUUUGUGAGGUAUUCAUGGAUGAUUUCUCCAUUUAUGGAUCCUCUUUUGAUGAUUGCUUGAGCAACCUUGAUCGAGUUUUGCAGAGAUGCGAAGACACUAGUCUU